GUGGGUACAGCCCAAGCUGUAGAGUGCAUGCUUAACAUGUAUGAGGUCCUGGGUUCAAUCCCCAGUACCUCCU
rfam:Camelus ferus unplaced genomic scaffold scaffold31, whole genome shotgun sequence.